rnacentral:rRNA from 1 species
AACGAACGCUGGCGGCGUGCCUAACACAUGCAAGUCGUACGUGAAAGUCUUCGGAUGAGUAAAGUGGCGCACGGGUGAGUAACACGUAGGUGACCUGCCUUAUAGAGGGGAAUAACCAGAAGAAAUUUUGGCUAAUGCCGCAUACGAAGCACGGUUUUAAGACUGUGCUUGAAGAAUGCCUCUGCAUAUGCAUUCGCUAUUAGAUGGGCCUGCGGGACAUUAGCUAGUUGGUGGGGUAAAGGCCUACCAAGGCAACGAUGUCUAUCCGGUCUGAGAGGAUGAUCGGACACACUGGAACUGAGACACGGUCCAGACUCCUACGGGAGGCAGCAGUGGGGAAUAUUGCGCAAUGGGCGAAAGCCUGACGCAGCGACGCCGCGUGGGUGAUGAAGGCCUUCGGUCGGUAAGACCGUCGUCGCCAGGGGAAGG